rnacentral:rRNA from 1 species
CCUACGGGAGGCAGCAGUGGGGAAUAUUGGACAAUGGGCGCAAGCCUGAUCCAGCCAUGCCGCGUGUGUGAAGAAGGCCUUAGGGUUGUAAAGCACUUUCAGUGGGGAGAAAGGUCAUUCACCUAAUAUGUGAGUGAAUUGAUGUUACCCACAGAAGAAGCACCGGCUAACUCCGUGCCAGCAGCCGCGGUAAU